ACACAUAUGUGCACACACAUGUACACACAGAUUGGUCUUGUUUUAUAAAUAAUAUAAUUUACAUACAUACGGGAAACACAUACAAAGGGAACAAAGCAGCAUGCUUCAAACACAUAGUCAACGCCUGGCAUUUGAAUACUGAGCCAUCAUACAAAGAGAACACAACUGCAUGCUACAAAACCAUAGCCAAAGCCUUACAUUUGCAUACUGAGCCAUCAAUGUAUACUGAGACAUCAAUGUCUACCUGAGCCAUUAGGCUUCUCAUUUGUUUGCCACUGCAAUGAACAUGAAGCUUCAGUAUGACUUAUAUAGAAACCAUGACAUACUGUAAUUACAAUAAAUAACUAGCACCAGAAGCUGUAGGAAGCAUGUGUGAUGGCUCUGUGAUAACUUCUCCAUUGUGUUAAACAAAAGGGGUUUAUUGUUUGUUUGUUUGACAAAAGUCAUCUCAACAUUCGUAUUUUCACAAUCCUAAAUUGAAGCAUCUCUGUAGCAGGGUGUUCUGUUUAACACCCUUUAUAUUGACUGAACUAGCCAAAUUGCAGUAUAUCUUUCAGUUUCACCUGAGUCCAAAGCUUAGUUUCCUACUAUGAGAAAACAAUGUCGGAUCUGUACUCAAGUACUACAUUUCCUUUUUGCUAAACUUGUAGAAGAGUCCAAAAGCAAACCAUGCUAUUUCUAGUUAGCAUCCCUUCAGGGAAUGAAAGGUUCAUCAUUUAAAGUCAUUGCCAUUUGAAAAUAUGCAGUUUCUGCCUCAAUGAUAUGUGGAAGACGCUUGUUUUCCUUCCUAGAGAGGAAAUAACAGCAUCUGAUAUACUUAUGGUGAGAUACGAGCUUCUCUUGAUGAAGAUGGAAGUUCCUGUUGAGUGCAGGAGCACCAUGCUACAGUGUCUCCUGUUUCAAAGAGCUGACAGACUAUUAUUGAGCUAUCGUAUUGUCCAAGAAGAAUGUUGGUGAAGCUUUCUUAGCCAAGAAAAUUCAACCAGCCAACCAAAGCAAAACAAAACAACAACAACAACAAAAUGUGCAUGCUUUCUGUUUCUCAUUAUAGUAUGCCCUCAACAUGUACAACUUUAGUUAGCUUUCUAUACCACUACUGUAUGUGUGUGGGCAUAGUGUCUCAGACAUUCCAAAACACAUUUGCAGACUUGUAAGCAGCUGGUUUCUUUCAUCUUGUGGUGAUGGAGUAAGUUAUGGUAGGGAGUGUAUGAUGGAGCAAUUCACCUCAUGCCCAGGUGAAACACGGGAAAUGAAUCUGGUGUCUUAAUUUCACUCUUGAGGAAACUACUCUAGGGAUCCAAAAACUUCUUUGAAAUACUAAUGAUUCCAUCACUUCUCAGUAUAGCUAUCAUCUACUGGGUACUACUAGGGAAGUAACAGAAUAGCAUUUUAGGACCAGCAAGAAGGCUCAGAGGGUAAAAGGUCUUGCAGUUAAGCCUGAAAAUUGAGCUUGGUCCCUGGGAUCUGCAUGGUUGAGGAAGAAAAACUACGCAAGUUGUCCUCUAACUUGAGAGCACAGGCUGUGGCACAUGCAUGCCUACCACACACAUGCACGCGCAUGCAUGCAAACACAUGAGUAAAUACAUUUUUAGAAAGCAAAUUGGCAUCUAGAAGACAUCUAAACCAUCUAAAACUAGAGGUAUAGGCGAGUCUUGUAAGUAAUUCAUAGAAUCUAUAGGUUCACUGCAAUAAGAACGCUGGACAGUCAGGGGCAGUCAUCUGAACAGUUGCGCUGCCAAACAGUAUCCAUUUUCAAACUUUUUUUCGAAUAAUGCUGGUAAAGUUAUAACCAAUAAUUGUUCAACAAGACCUGAAGGAUAUAACUAUAGGGAUUCAGUCUGAGGCAUGAUGUAAGUAGAAUCUGAAUUAACAAGAAAAGAACAAAGAAGAGACAAUCAGCUCAGAUAGUUUAGCAUGAGUUUGUAUAAACUAAGCACAUAUAUCCCACUGUACAAACAUAUAAUCAUUGAAACAGAACAUCACUGAUACAUGGUAGAAACAGGAUCUGAAUCCAGAAAACCAAGAUACCCUAUAUGCUACAUCCAAUAAAGGUGUACUUUCUAAUAACAUAUCCUUUUAUAAAUGACAAUGAACCAAUACUGGGACAAAUUUACAUUUCUGCUUCCUUUCUCUCUCUAAAGGCCCUUUUUGUCUUUCUUUCUUGUUCUUUUUAAUCAUCCCCCUCUUUUUUUUUUUUUUUUUUUUUUUUUUUUACUGCUCAUUGAGACUGAUAAAUUUAAAGCCCUCUUUCUCUCUAGGAGGACGUUUUGCACCUCAUUUCCUCUGUCUCUCCUGAUUGAUCUCUCCUCCCCUGAUUGCGUUCUCAUCAUCUCUGGUCUGUCUCACUAAGCGCGAUGCUUCAAUCAUAGGACUUGCCUCUAAUGAUCACCUUCAGGAAUCUUACCAGGCCGUCAAGUUACAGGAUUGAGAUACAUUUCAUCUUUGACUUGAAUCUUUAUUUUGAAAACCAGUGACCUUUUUGCAUGUCCUUGACAGCGGGUAUUGGCACAAAAAUCUGUCCCCAUAGUCC
rnacentral:lncRNA from 1 species